GCGAGUGUAGCUCAAUGGUAGAGCCUCAGUUUUCCAAACUGAUGGUGCGGGUUCGAUUCCCGUCACUCGCU
rnacentral:tRNA from 1 species